rnacentral:rRNA from 1 species
GACGAACGCUGGCGGCGUGCCUAAUACAUGCAAGUAGAACGCUGAAGGAGGAGCUUGCUUCUCUGGAUGAGUUGCGAACGGGUGAGUAACGCGUAGGUAACCUGCCUGGUAGCGGGGGAUAACUAUUGGAAACGAUAGCUAAUACCGCAUAAGAGUAGAUGUCGCAUGACAUUUGCUUAAAAGGUGCAAUUGCAUCACUACCAGAUGGACCUGCGUUGUAUUAGCUAGUUGGUGAGGUAACGGCUCACCAAGGCAACGAUACAUAGCCGACCUGAGAGGGUGAUCGGCCACACUGGGACUGAGACACGGCCCAGACUCCUACGGGAGGCAGCAGUAGGGAAUCUUCGGCAAUGGACGGAAGUCUGACCGAGCAACGCCGCGGGAGUGAAGAAGGGUUUCGGAUCGUAAAGCUCUGUUGUAAGAGAAGAACGAGUGUGAGAGUGGAAAGUUCACACUGUGACGGUAGCUUACCAGAAAGGGACGGCUAACUACGUG